UUUCCGUAGGUGAACCUGCGGAAGGAUCAUUCAUAAUAAAGUGUUUUAUGGCACUUUUUAAAAAUCCAUAUCCACCUUGUGUGCAAUGUUAGAUCUCGUCAAUCUUGGCGAGAUUUUUAUACAUCAACUCAUUCUUUAACUAAUUUGUCUGAAAAAUAUUAUGAAUACUUAAUUCAAAAUACAACUUUCAACAACGGAUCUCUUGGCUCUCGCAUCGAUAAAGAACGCAGC
rnacentral:misc_RNA from 1 species